GUAAGGAAUAUUGGUCAAUGGAGGCAACUCUGAUCCAGCCAUGCCGCGUGUGUGAAGAAGGUCUUCGGAUUGUAAAGCACUUUAAGUUGGGAGGAAGGGUAGUAACCUAAUACGUUGCUACUUUGACGUUACCGACAGAAUAAGCACCGGCUAACUUCGUGCCAGCAGCCGCGGUAAUACGAAGGGUGCAAGCGUUAAUCGGAAUUACUGGGCGUAAAGCGCGCGUAGGUGGUUCAGUAAGUUGGAAGUGAAAUCCCCGGGCUCAACCUGGGAACUGCUUUCAAAACUGCUGAGCUAGAGUACGGUAGAGGGUGGUGGAAUUUCCUGUGUAGCGGUGAAAUGCGUAGAUAUAGGAAGGAACACCAGUGGCGAAGGCGACCACCUGGACUGAUACUGACACUGAGGUGCGAAAGCGUGGUGAGCAAACAGGAUUAGAAACCCUUGUAGUCC
rnacentral:rRNA from 1 species